rnacentral:rRNA from 1 species
CCUAACGGGUCGCAGCAGUAGGGAAUCUUCGGCAAUGGACGAGAGUCUGACCGAGCAACGCCGCGUGAGUGAAGAAGGUUUUCGGAUCGUAAAACUCUGUUGUUAGAGAAGAACAAGUAGGAGAGUAACUGCUCUUACCUUGACGGUAUCUAACCAGAAAGCCACGGCUAACUACGUGCCAGCAGCCGCGGUAAUACGUAGGUGGCAAGCGUUGUCCGGAUUUAUUGGGCGUAAAGCGAGCGCAGGCGGUCUUUUAAGUCUGAUGUGAAAGUCCUCGGCUCAACCGAGGAAGGUCGUUGGAAACUGGAGGACUUGAGUGCAGAAGAGGAGAGUGGAAUUCCAUGUGUAGCAGUGAAAUGCGUAGAUAUAUGGAGGAACACCAGUGGCGAAGGCGACUCUCUGGUCUGUAACUGACGCUGAGGCUCGAAAGCGUGGGGAGCAAACAGGAUUAGAUACCCGGGUAGUC